rnacentral:rRNA from 1 species
CGGUAGCAAUACCGCAGUCGAGCGGCGAACGGGUGAGUAACACGUGGGUGACCUGCCUCUAGGUGGGGGAUAACCCGGGGAAACUCGGGCUAAUACCGCAUAACAUCGUGAGAUCAAAGAGGGGCGCAAGCCUCUCGCCGAGAGAGGGGCCCGCGUCUGAUUAGCUAGUUGGUGAGGUAACGGCUCACCAAGGCGACGAUCAGUAGCCGGCCUGAGAGGGCGAUCGGCCACACUGGAACUGAGACACGGUCCAGACUCCUACGGGAGGCAGCAGUGGGGAAUUUUGCGCAAUGGGGGAAACCCUGACGCAGCAACGCCGCGUGGAGGAUGAAGGUCCUUGGAUUGUAAACUCCUGUCAGCAGGGAAGAAGGCCUGGGGGUGAAUAUCCCCCAGGAUUGACGGUACCUGCAGAGGAAGCCCCGGCUAACUCUGUGCCAGCAGCCGCGGUAAUACAGAGGGGGCAAGCGUUAUUCGGAAUUAUUGGGCGUAAAGGGCGCGUAGGCGGCUUCGCAAGUGGUGGGUGAAAUCCCUCGGCUUAACCGAGGAACUGCCCUCCAAACUGCGUUGCUUGAGUCCGGGAGAGGUGAGUGGAAUUCCCAGUGUAGCGGUGAAAUGCGUAGAUAUUGGGAGGAACACCAGUGGCGAAGGCGGCUCACUGGACCGGAACUGACGCUGAGGCGCGAAAGCGUGGGGAGCAAACGGGAUUAGA